AUUGAACGCUGGCGGCAUGCUCUACACAUGCAAGUCGAACGGUAACAGGCCGCAAGGUGCUGACGAGUGGCGAACGGGUGAGUAAUGCAUCGGAACGUGCCCAGUCGUGGGGGAUAACGCAGCGAAAGCUGCGCUAAUACCGCAUACGAUCUAUGGAUGAAAGCGGGGGACCGUAAGGCCUCGCGCGAUUGGAGCGGCCGAUGUCAGAUUAGGUAGUUGGUGGGGUAAAGGCUCACCAAGCCAACGAUCUGUAGCUGGUCUAAGAGGACGACCAGCCACACUGGGACUGAGACACGGCCCAGACUCCUACGGGAGGCAGCAGUGGGGAAUUUUGGACAAUGGGCGCAAGCCUGAUCCAGCAAUGCCGCGUGAAGGAAGAAGGCCUUCGGGUUGUAAACUGCUUUUGUACGGAACGAAAAGGCUCUGGAUAAUACCUGGGGCUCAUGACGGUACCGUAAGAAUAAGCACCGGCUAACUACGUGCCAGCCGCCGCGGUAAAAC
rnacentral:rRNA from 1 species